AGAAUAAUAAGCAUAUCAUGUAUUCAUGGUGUCUUUGAAGCUUUAAACACCUCAAAUUUACAGGAAGGAUAAAUUUUGUUUUGGUGAUUAAAACAAGAAUUUAGUUGUUAGUACUGCAAAAACAAGGUAAAUAAUGAAGAUGUGAUUACAUGGAUUUUUGCCUUAUAAAGCAUCACAAUGACUUACAGCUAAAAUCACCCAUCUUAUUUUUCCAGCCCUUUUCAGCUCAGAUGGCAGGACUGGAUGAGAAAUCUGGACUUGGUAGUCAGAUGGGCCUGAUGCCUGGUGCAGUGGGUCCAGUUGGUCCACGAGGUCCUCAGGGUCUCCAAGGAAAACAAGGUGGUGCUGGCCCCACAGGCCCACCUGGUGAACCUGGGGAUCCAGGACCAAUGGGGCCAGUUGGCUCUCGUGGACCAGAGGGACCUCCAGGCAAACCUGGUGAAGAUGUAAGUUUGUUAUUCUUUGUAUCUUGUUUUAUUUUUAAUAAAACAAACAUUGGCAUCUGUGAGACAGUGACUAACUAG
rnacentral:lncRNA from 13 species